UGGGGAAUAUUGCACAAUGGGCGCAAGCCUGAUGCAGCCAUGCCGCGUGUGUGAAGAAGGCCUUCGGGUUGUAAAGCACUUUCAGCGAGGAGGAAGGUGGUGAGCUUAAUACGCUCAUCAAUUGACGUUACUCGCAGAAGAAGCACCGGCUAACUCCGUGCCAGCAGCCGCGGUAAUACGGAGGGUGCAAGCGUUAAUCGGAAUUACUGGGCGUAAAGCGCACGCAGGCGGUUUGUUAAGUCAGAUGUGAAAUCCCCGGGCUCAACCUGGGAACUGCAUUUGAAACUGGCAAGCUAGAGUCUCGUAGAGGGGGGUAGAAUUCCAGGUGUAGCGGUGAAAUGCGUAGAGAUCUGGAGGAAUACCGGUGGCGAAGGCGGCCCCCUGGACGAAGACUGACGCUCAGGUGCGAAAGCGCGGGGAGCAAACAGGAUUAGAUACCCUGGUAGUCCACGCUGUAAACGAUGUCGAUUUGGAGGUUGUGCCCUUGGGGCGUGGCUUCCGGAGCUAACGCGUUAAAGUCGACCGCCUGGGGAGU
rnacentral:rRNA from 1 species